rnacentral:rRNA from 1 species
AACGAACGCUGGCGGCAGGCUUAACACAUGCAAGUCGAACGAUAACCUGGAGCUUGCUCUAGGGGACAGUGGCAGACGGGUGAGUAACGCGUAGCAACCUACCUAUUUCUACGGAAUAACGUCGAGAAAUUGACGCUAAUACCGUAUACGCCCUUCGGGGAAAGAUUUAUCGGUGAUAGAUGGGGCUGCGUUAGAUUAGCUAGUUGGUAAGGUAAUGGCUUACCAAGGCGACGAUCUAUAGCGGGUCUGAGAGGAUGAUCCGCCACACUGGGACUGAGACACGGCCCAG